GACGCAGCAUGCCGCGUGAUGAGAAGGCCUUCGGGUUGUAAAGUUCUUUCGGUAUUGAGGAAGGUUGUUGUGUUAAUAGCACGACAAAUUGACGUUAAAUACAGAAGAAGCACCGGCUAACUCCGUGCCAGCAGCCGCGGUAAUACGGAGGGUGCGAGCGUUAAUCGGAAUAACUGGGCGUAAAGGGCACGCAGGCGGACUUUUAAGUGAGGUGUGAAAUCCCCGGGCUUAACCUGGGAAUUGCAUUUCAGACUGGGAGUCUAGAGUACUUUAGGGAGGGGUAGAAUUCCACGUGUAGCGGUGAAAUGCGUAGAGAUGUGGAGGAAUACCGAAGGCGAAGGCAGCCCCUUGGGAAUGUACUGACGCUCAUGUGCGAAAGCGUGGGGAGCAAACA
rnacentral:rRNA from 1 species